UUUGAACAUCCCAGACCAGAAGUGAAUUCGGUUUUUGUUCGCACCCUCUUUCACAUAAAAUCAGUUGGGUUAUGUGGUUGACGAAGAAGUUCCAUGGACUACCUACGGCAAUUUAAGUCUGCAUCAUUGUUGUUAGUGCACUGCACCGGGAGUACUGAAGAGAUUUUUAAUUUGAUCGAAUUAUUGGUAAUUUUUAUCUACAACCACGUUGUGUAUUCACAACCUACUGGCAGCUAUUAUCCUGCAAAUUGUUAUUGGUGACUUGUCCACAAAAUUACUGGUAGCUUGUCUGUAUAUUUAUUGGUAGUAUAACUGUACUACCAUACCGAUGGUAUUAUCCACAUUGACCUUUGAUUCGCAUUGUUUGGUGUUUGGCAGACGAGUUCUAGGGAACUCGUGGUAUGUAGCAGAUGGAUUUUUAAGAAAUCUCCUUUUUAUUAUAUCAUUUCCGUGACUUAUACAUGCGAUAAUGAAAUGUUAUUGAGAUGUGUCAUAUACUGAAUUGUAAUAAAA